UACGAAGGGUGCAAGCGUUACUCGGAAUUACUGGGCGUAAAGCGUGCGUAGGUGGUUUGUUAAGUCUGAUGUGAAAGCCCUGGGCUCAACCUGGGAAUUGCAUUGGAUACUGGCAGGCUUGAAUUCGGGAGAGGGAUGCAGAAUUCCAGGUGUAGCGGUGAAAUGCGUAGAUAUCUGGAGGAAUACCGGUGGCGAAGGCGGCAUCCUGGACCGACAUUGACGCUGAACGGCGAAAGCUAGGGGAGCAAACGGGAGUUAG
rnacentral:rRNA from 1 species